ACGCAUAGACUUUUGCUUGUCACUAUAAGGAGCGCCUUGCUCGCGUGUCUUUGUUUCUUUUUCUUUGCACUUCGUUGCCGCCGAACCUCGAGACCUAACCUCGACCCUAACUCGGCUUAAAUCCCGCUGGGGAUUUUUACUUUAAGAUCUAUAUCUUUAAUCAUACUUUGCUACAAAUCGAGUCACUGCCCUCGAUUAAUAACGGGCUGACUGAUUACCGGCAUUUACACCGGUGGAGAUCUCCGCCGGUCAUCGGACGAAGACGGAACUGAAGACCAUCAUCACCGGGAAUUAGUCAGGCCAGUGUCCUUCCAUUUUACU
rnacentral:misc_RNA from 1 species